GUUCAAACCAACCAACAGACAGUGAAUCAACCUUCUGUACAGUGAUGUAAACACCAACAUAAAGAGGCUUAUCUUGAGAUGAGGGUCACUAGAGGAGCUAGAACACAGAGAAGGGCCAGUCAGAGUAGGGGUCAGGGUCAGAGCAACGGGCCAGUCAGAGCAGGGGUCAGGGUCAGAGCAGGGGUCAGGGUCACAGAGACGGGCCAGUCAGAGCUGGGGUCAGGGUCAGAGCAGGGGUCAGGGUCAGAGAGACGGGUCAGUCAGAGCAGGGGUCAGGGUCAGAGCAGGGGUCAGGGUCAGAGACGGGUCAGUUAGAGCAGGGGUCAGGGUCACAGAGACGGGCCAGUCAGAGCAGGGGUCAGGGUCACAGAGACGGGCCAGUCAGAGCAGGGGUCAGGGUCAGAGCAGGGGUCAGGGUCACAGAGACGGGCCAGUCAGAGCUGGGGUCAGGGUCAGAGAGACGGGCCAGUCAGAGCAGGGGUCAGGGUCAGAGAGACGGGCCAGUCAGAGCAGGGGUCAGGGUCAGAGAGACGGGCCAGUCAGAGCAGGGGGCAGUCAGAGCAGGGGUCAGUGUCAGAGAGACGGGCCAGUCAGAGCAGGGGGCAGUCAGAGCAGGGGGCAGUCAGAGCAGGGGGCAGGGUCAGAGACGGGGCAGUCAGAGCAGGGGGCAGGGUCACAGAGACAGGCCAGUCAGAGACGGGGGCAGGGACAGAGACGGGCCAGGGUCAGAGCAGGGGUCAGGGUCAGAGACGGGGUCAGGGUCAGAGCAGGGGUCAGGGUCAGAGAGACGGGCCAGUCAGAGCAGGGGUCAGGGUC